rnacentral:rRNA from 1 species
AGAGUUUGAUCCUGGCUCAGGAUGAACGCUAGCGACAGGCUUAACACAUGCAAGUCGAGGGGCAGCACAGGUAGCAAUACCGGGUGGCGACCGGCGCACGGGUGAGUAACGCGUAUGCAACUUACCUAUCAGAGGGGGAUAACCCGGCGAAAGUCGGACUAAUACCGCAUGAAGCAGGGGCCCCGCAUGGGGAUAUUUGCUAAAGAUUCAUCGCUGAUAGAUAGGCAUGCGUUCCAUUAGGCAGUUGGCGGGGUAACGGCCCACCAAACCGACGAUGGAUAGGGGUUCUGAGAGGAAGGUCCCCCACAUUGGUACUGAGACACGGACCAAACUCCUACGGGAGGCAGCAGUGAGGAAUAUUGGUCAAUGGGCGUAAGCCUGAACCAGCCAAGUCGCGUGAGGGAUGAAGGUUCUAUGGAUCGUAAACCUCUUUUAUAAGGGAAUAAAGUGCGGGACGUGUCCCGUUUUGUAUGUACCUUAUGAAUAAGGAUCGGCUAACUCCGUGCCAGCAGCCGCGGUAAUACGGAGGAUCCGAGCGUUAUCCGGAUUUAUUGGGUUUAAAGGGUGCGUAGGCGGCCUUUUAAGUCAGCGGUGAAAGUCUGUGGCUCAACCAUAGAAUUGCCGUUGAAACUGGGAGGCUUGAGUAUGUUUGAGGCAGGCGGAAUGCGUGGUGUAGCGGUGAAAUGCUUAGAUAUCACGCAGAACCCCGAUUGCGAAGGCAGCCUGCCAAGCCAUGACUGACGCUGAUGCACGAAAGCGUGGGGAUCAAACAGGAUUAGAUACCCUGGUAGUCCACGCAGUAAACGAUGAUCACUAGCUGUUUGCGAUACAGUGUAAGCGGCACAGCGAAAGCGUUAAGUGAUCCACCUGGGGAGUACGCCGGCAACGGUGAAACUCAAAGGAAUUGACGGGGGCCCGCACAAGCGGAGGAACAUGUGGUUUAAUUCGAUGAUACGCGAGGAACCUUACCCGGGCUUAAAUUGCAACUGACUGAAUCGGAAACGGUUCUUUCUUCGGACAGUUGUGAAGGUGCUGCAUGGUUGUCGUCAGCUCGUGCCGUGAGGUGUCGGCUUAAGUGCCAUAACGAGCGCAACCCUUGCCACUAGUUACUAACAGGUAAAGCUGAGGACUCUGGUGGGACUGCCAGCGUAAGCUGCGAGGAAGGCGGGGAUGACGUCAAAUCAGCACGGCCCUUACAUCCGGGGCGACACACGUGUUACAAUGGCGUGGACAAAGGGAAGCCACCUGGCGACAGGGAGCGAAUCCCCAAACCACGUCUCAGUUCGGAUCGAAGUCUGCAACCCGACUUCGUGAAGCUGGAUUCGCUAGUAAUCGCGCAUCAGCCAUGGCGCGGUGAAUACGUUCCCGGGCCUUGUACACACCGCCCGUCAAGCCAUGGGAGCCGGGGGUACCUGAAGUACGUAACCGCAAGGAGCGUCCUAGGGUAAAACUGGUAAUUGGGGCUAAGUCGUAACAAGGUAGCCGUACCGGAAGGUGCGGCUG